GUGCGCUAGCCUUCGCCGACUCUGCACAGAUUGUCAACUAUGCUGUAUUUUUAUCGGGUUUCUUUUUCACUUCAUAUUUGCUCUCAAAUGCUGAUACUCUGUGGGAAUUCAUAAAGUAUUCAGUACUGGAAGAGGUGGCUGGAGGCCGAGAAAUCUGGACUUCCCUACUGAGACUGCUGGCCCUGCGACCCGGACCCGAAUAAGCGGAAGAAAAUGGAUUGAUGGAUGAUACUACAUUCUGACAAGAAGUAACCCCUGGGAAUAUGUCCUCUGGAUUGGAGUGAGAGAAUAGUAGUUUUGCUUUUGUUUAGUUAUUUUGUAUCAUUGACUUUAUGUUGCUCAAACAAUUGUACUGUGGCGUCGCUGGGAGAAUUUCCUGCUUCCCAGCAUGUUUUGCUUGACUGUUUUGUAAAUAGCUGCUAAGUUACAUCGUUAGAUUUAACAUAGUUGUUGUUUAUUGUUCUCCGCCAGUAGUGGUAGUGUCUUGUCUGUUUGUCAUCUACCUGAUGCGCUGCUGUGUGUUUUUUUAGCUUCUUUCUUUUAUGACACUGUGAGCCAGAUUGUUACACUGUGUUGACUAAUGGCCUCCUGAGAUUUCCAGUGGGUUGACAAGUUCACUGUGACCUCUCUUGUAGUUUG